AGUUUUGAUCUCUUGAGGAUGGGUUCGAGCCCCUUCUCUCUAGAAUUGAGGGG
rnacentral:tRNA from 1 species